AUUGAACGCUGGCGGCAGGCCUAACACAUGCAAGUCGAGCGAGCGGCGGCCGGGUGAGUAAUGUCUGGGAAACUGCCUGAUGGAGGGGGAUAACUACUGGAAACGGUAGCUAAUACCGCAUCCCAUCAGAUGUGCCCAGAUGGGAUUAGCUAGUAGUUGGGGUAAUGGCUAACCUAGGCGACGCUCCCUAGCUGGUCUGAGAGGAUGACCAGACACACUGGAAAUGAGACACGGGGCAGACUCCUACGGGAGGCAGCAGUGGGGAAUAUUGGACAAUGGGCGCAAGCCUGAUGCAGCCAUGCCGGGUGUGUGAAGAAGGCAUUCGGGUUGUAAAGCACGUUCAGCGGGGAGGCGUUAACAGCAGAAGAAGCACCGGCUAACUCCGUGCCAGCAGCCGCGGUAAUUC
rnacentral:rRNA from 1 species